AUAAUACUCCCUCUGUCUGGAAUUACUUGUCGCACAAAUAAAUAAAAGUGGAUGUAUUUAGAACUAAAAUAUAUCUAGAUACAUUCAUUUCUCUAACAAAUAUUUCUGGACGGAGGGAGUAAUUA
rfam:Triticum aestivum genome assembly, contig: Triticum_aestivum_CS42_TGACv1_scaffold_605699_7DL